AUACGGAGGGUGCAAGCGUUAAUCGGAAUUACUGGGCGUAAAGCGCGCGUAGGCGGAUAUUUAAGUCUCAUGUGAAAGCCCUGGGCUCAACCUGGGAACUGCAUGGGAUACUGGGUAUCUAGAAUACAGUAGAGGGUAGUGGAAUUUCAGGUGUAGCGGUGAAAUGCGUAGAGAUCUGAAGGAACAUCAGUGGCGAAGGCGACUACCUGGACUGAUAUUGACGCUGAGGUGCGAAAGCGUGGGGAGCAAACGGGAUUAGAUACCCCAGUAGUCC
rnacentral:rRNA from 1 species